rnacentral:lncRNA from 1 species
GGUCACCCGGUUAGCAUUUUUAACUAUCAGAUUUCAGAUUUGAUAUCCAGCCCCUGACCCAAGUGAAUUCGCUUCUGGUCAUCUGGGCACAAGGUGAUUGAGCUGCCUUGAAGAAAGACAAUGCACAGGCUUUCUGAACGUGGCGAUCUUGAUUUUAAGAGGUAUGUACUAGAGAAACUCAAAGAGGGUCUACAUUGAAGGAUUUAUAAAAACUGGUUGCAGGUGGAGUUUAGAGAGAAGUACAAGAAUGAACAUCCCAACAACAAAUCGGAGAGAGCGCCCUACCAGGCCAAGGCAGAGAAGAGAAAGGUUGAAUAGAACAACAUGGAAGUUUAUAACAAGAAACAAGUAAUUGUGUGAUAGAGUAAAAGAUUGGUCCUUUAAUGUAUCUGAUAGCUGCAAAGUGACAACUUUGAACCAUCAGAUCAAACCAGAACAAAUACAUCGGUUCAAUCUGACACAGAAGACCUUACCUAGCCACUUCUGCUCUGCAAUCUUAUGCUUUUUGUUAUGCUGUGCAACUCUUUGUGAUAAAGACCAAUCUCUUAUGGUUUUUUGGUAAUGCUAACGGUGCUUAAAAAACAAUGUCAUGCUAUGUACAUAUAAGCACUGGUUGUCAGGACCAUUCUCUAUGUUUUCUGUAAUGCCUGAAAACCAAUCAACCAAAAUAGCAGAUAGUUUGU